AGUGAACGCUGGCGGUAGGCCUAACACAUGCAAGUCGAACGGCAGCACAGUAAGAGCUUGCUCUUACGGGUGGCGAGUGGCGGACGGGUGAGGAAUACAUCGGAAUCUACUUUUUCGUGGGGGAUAACGUAGGGAAACUUACGCUAAUACCGCAUACGACCUACGGGUGAAAGCAGGGGAUCUUCGGACCUUGCGCGAUUGAAUGAGCCGAUGUCGGAUUAGCUAGUUGGCGGGGUAAAGGCCCACCAAGGCGACGAUCCGUAGCUGGUCUGAGAGGAUGAUCCGCAACACUGGAGCGGCGACACGUGCAAUAGGACGAUGUGCGGCAGGAGUGGGACAUAGUGGAGACGGGCGCAAAGCCGGCUACAGCCAGACCGGGGGGGUGAAGAACGUCUUCUGGUUGUAAAGCCCUUUGCUGGGGAAAUAAAAGAAGCAGUUUAAUACCCCGCUGGUCUGACGGUACCAAAAAAAUAAGAACCGGCCAACUUCGUGCCAGAAGCCGCGGUAAUAGAUAGAACAACACCCGGCUGAAC
rnacentral:rRNA from 1 species